GACGAACGCUGGCGGCGUGCUUAACACUUGCAAGUCGAACGGAAAGGCCCUGCUUUUGUGGGGUGCUCGAGUGGCGAACGGGUGAGUAACAAGUGAGUAACCUGCCCUUGACUUUGGGAUAACUUCAGGAAACUGGGGCUAAUACCGGAUAGGAGCUCCUGCUGCAUGGUGGGGGUUGGAAAGUUUCGGCGGUUGGGGAUGGACUCGCGGCUUAUCAGCCUGUUGGUGGGGUAGUGGCUUACCAAGGCUUUGACGGGUAGCCGGCCUGAGAGGGUGACCGGCCACAUUGGGACUGAGAUACGGCCCAGACUCCUACGGGAGGCAGCAGUGGGGAAUAUUGCACAAUGGGCGGAAGCCUGAUGCAGCAACGCCGCGUGCGGGAUGACGGCCUUCGGGUUGUAAACCGCUUUCGCCUGUGACGAAGCGUGAGUGACGGUAAUGGGUAAAGAAGCACCGGCUAACUACGUG
rnacentral:rRNA from 1 species